CCUACGGGUGGCAGCAGUGAGGAAUAUUGGUCAAUGGACGAGAGUCUGAACCAGCCAAGUAGCGUGAAGGAUGACUGCCCUAUGGGUUGUAAACUUCUUUUAUAUGGGAAUAAAAUGUUCCACGUGUGGGAUUUUGUAUGUACCAUAUGAAUAAGGAUCGGCUAACUCCGUGCCAGCAGCCGCGGUAAUACGGAGGUUCCGAGCGUUAUCCGGAUUUAUUGGGUUUAAAGGGAGCGUAGGUGGGUUGUUAAGUCAGUUGGGAAAGUUUGCGGCUCAACCGUAAAAUUGCAGUUGAAACUGGCAGUCUUGAGUACAGUAGAGGUGGGCGGAAUGCGUGGUGUAGCGGUGAAAUGCUUAGAUAGCACGAAGAACUCCGAUUGCGAAGGCAGCUCACUGGACUGCAACUGACACUGAGGCUCGAAAGUGUGGGUAUCAAACAGGAUUAGAUACCCGGGUAGUC
rnacentral:rRNA from 1 species